CCCUCCCAGUUUGUGGUGCCUGCCAACUCCGAGCGGGUGAUGUGAAGAUAAAUGUGAUAACGUCUACAAAGUCCUCCAAAUUCUCGGGAUGAAAUGUGCUAUGUAAAUGGAACACAGCCCCGUUAUGAUUGAAGUUUAAUGCAGCAGCUCUCAGGCCUAUACAGGGAAUGCAGUCUGGCUGGAAGAUGAUGGAACUGAGGCAUGAUGAAAGCCCCUCGCAAGUAAGGGAGCUGGGAUUUGCUCCCAUGUUCCUAGCCACUUCAGUCUAUCGCCCUUCAUCUAUUCUACAUCAUAAAUAACACACAAACUUUUUUGCACCAAUUGUAGCUUGACUUGUAAACUCUACCUGAUGUUGUUUUCUAUAGUUGAAUAUGUCUGUUAUUUUUUAAAUAAUAUUUUAUUGUAGUUAUUGAAUAUCAUUAUAAUGACUUUUGGGAUAUACAGAUUUUUAUUUUUAUGCAGUUAAAUCUAUUCUUAUUUUCCUUCGUGACUUAUUCCAUCUUGAUUUUGUGUUUAGGAAGUCUUUCCAACCCAAUAAAUAGAUUUUCACCUAU
rnacentral:lncRNA from 10 species